rnacentral:rRNA from 1 species
CGGUAAUACGUAGGGUGCGAGCGUUAAUCGGAAUUACUGGGCGUAAAGCGUGCGCAGGCGGAUUGUUAAGCAAGAUGUGAAAUCCCCGGGCUUAACCUGGGAAUGGCAUUUUGAACUGGCAGUCUAGAGUGUGUCAGAGGGGGGUGGAAUUCCACGUGUAGCAGUGAAAUGCGUAGAUAUGUGGAGGAACACCAAUGGCGAAGGCAGCCCCCUGGGAUGACACUGACGCUCAUGUACGAAAGCGUGGGUAGCAAACAGGAUUAGAUACCCUGGUAGUCCACGCCCUAAACGAUGUCAACUGGUUGUUGGGGGAGUGAAAUCUCUUAGUAACGAAGCUAACGCGUGAAGUUGACCGCCUGGGGAGUACGGUCGCAAGAUUAAA